rnacentral:rRNA from 1 species
AUGAACGCUGGCGGCGUGCCUAAUACAUGCAAGUCGAGCGAACGGACGAGAAGCUUGCUUCUCUGAUGUUAGCGGCGGACGGGUGAGUAACACGUGGAUAACCUACCUAUAAGACUGGGAUGACUUCGGGAAACCGGAGCUAAUACCGGAUGAUAUUUUGAACCGCAUGGUUCCAAAGUGAAAGACGGUCUUGCUGUCACUUAUAGAUGGAUCCGCGCUGCAUUAGCUAGUUGGUAAGGUAACGGCUUACCAAGGCAACGAUGCAUAGCCGACCUGAGAGGGUGAUCGGCCACACUGGAACUGAGACACGGUCCAGACUCCUACGGGAGGCAGCAGUAGGGAAUCUUCCGCAAUGGGCGAAAGCCUGACGGAGCAACGCCGCGUGAGUGAUGAAGGUCUUCGGAUCGUAAAACUCUGUUAUUAGGGAAGAACAUAUGUGUAAGUAACUGUGCACAUCUUGACGGUACCUAAUCAGAAAGCCACGGCUAACUACGUG